rnacentral:lncRNA from 10 species
CGACCCCACGCCACGCAGAGGUGAAGAUACGCAGGACGUCCUCUAAAGCAACUUCCGUGGGUGCCAGGUUGUGGGCUGGGGGCGGUGCUGACCUUGAGAGAGCGGAGGAGGCGCAGGCGCAGCACAGUUUAAACUUGAUUUUGUGAGGGGACGAACAGCGUGACAAUUAAAAGAAGAUCUGGGAAUCAAAAGCUUCCUGAGGCCUUCACCAGAAGCAGAUGCUGGUGCCGUGCUUCUACAGCCUGCAGAACUGAAGGACUUUACAGCUUCUCUUUCGCAUAUCCAAAUUGCCAGCAUCACCGCUCUUGCACUCCAAGCCAUUAUUAAGUAAAGUAAAGAACACAAACACUGUGAUACUGCUACACUUGAUCUGAUAACCAAGAAGUCUACUAAGUGACUAACAGAAGAGAAGACAUGGAGAAGAGGAGGGAGUAGUUGUGACCGUGGAGGCAGAGAAUGGAGUAAUGUGAUCAUAAAUCAAGGAAUGCUGACAGCCACUAAAGCUGGAGAAGGCCAAGGACAGAUAUUCAAUCCUCCCGUAGAAGUACAGCCCUGCUAAUGCAUUGAUUUUGGACUUCUGGCCUCAGAACUGUAAGAGAAUAAAUUUCUAUUGUUUUAAGCCUUCAGUUUGUGGUAGUUUGUUACAGAAACCCUGUAAAGUUAAUACACAGAGUUCAAAGAGAAUCCGGUAAUAUCUCUAAAAGACUCGUGUAUUAGUCAGGAUUCUCCAGAGAAGCAAAGCCAAUAGAAUGAUACAUGUUGUUAAAGCAAAUUAAAAUGGAGACCAUGCCUGAAGAAUCUCUGUGCAGAGAAACCCAGUUAGGCCUCAUAAGUUAACCUUACUUGAUUUGCAAACAUAAUCUAAAAGUUAACUGGAGCUAUUUCCGGUAAAUGAAUAUAACACAACUUAAGCUCAAUCAGUCAGAAGCAGCUUUAUAAUUAUGUAGCUAGGGACUUUCCAAGAGGAUGACCAAAG